rnacentral:sRNA from 1 species
UUCUGUUAAGACGGGAGUUUUUGGCUU